rnacentral:rRNA from 1 species
AUUGAACGCUGGCGGCAUGCUUUACACAUGCAAGUCGAACGGUAACAGGCCUUCGGGUGCUGACGAGUGGCGAACGGGUGAGUAAUGCAUCGGAACGUACCCAGAGGUGGGGGAUAACGCAGCGAAAGCUGUGCUAAUACCGCAUGUGAUCUGAGGAUGAAAGCGGGGGACCGAGCAGCAAUGUUUGGCCUCGCGCCUUUGGAGCGGCCGAUGUCGGAUUAGCUAGUUGGUGGGGUAAAGGCCUACCAAGGCGACGAUCCGUAGCUGGUCUGAGAGGACGACCAGCCACACUGGGACUGAGACACGGCCCAGACUCCUACGGGAGGCAGCAGUGGGGAAUUUUGGACAAUGGGCGCAAGCCUGAUCCAGUAAUGCCGCGUGCGGGAAGAGGGCCUUCGGGUUGUAAACCGCUUUUGGCAGGAACGAAACGGUGUCCGCUAAUACCGGGCGCUAAUGACGGUACCUGCAGAAUAAGCACCGGCUAACUACGUG